ACACGUAGGGCGCAAGCGUUGUCCGGAUUUAUUGGGCGUAAAGGGCUCGUAGGCGGUUUCGUAAGUCGGGUGUGAAAACUCAGGGCUCAACCCUGAGACGCCACUCGAUACUGCGAUGACUUGAGUCCGGUAGGGGAGCAGGGAAUUCCUGGUGUAGCGGUGAAAUGCGCAGAUAUCAGGAGGAACACCAUUAGCGAAGGCGCUGCUCUGGGCCGGUACUGACGCUGAGGAGCGAAAGCACGGGGAGCAAACAGGAUUAGAUACCCUAGUAGUCC
rnacentral:rRNA from 1 species